rnacentral:pre_miRNA from 1 species
GUAGUACUCCCUCCGUCCCAAAAUUCUUGUCUUACAUUUGUUUAGAUAUAGAUGUAUCUAACACUAAAAUGUAACUAGAUACAUCCAUAUUUAGACAAAUUUAAGACAAGAAUUUUGGGAUGGAGGGAGUACAAA